rnacentral:rRNA from 1 species
GAUGAACGCUGGCGGCGUGCCUAACACAUGCAAGUCGAACGGUUAAGGCGGCUUCGGCCGCGGAUAAAGUGGCGAACGGGUGAGUAACGCGUGACCGACCUUCCCCCCGCACCGGGACAACCGCGGGAAACCGCGGCUGAUACCGGGUACUCCGGGGCCCCCGCAUGAGGGCCCCGGGAAAGCUCCGGCGGCGGGGGAUGGGGUCGCGUCCCAUCAGGUAGUAGGCGGGGCAACGGCCCACCUAGCCGACGACGGGUAGCCGGGUUGAGAGACCGACCGGCCACAUUGGGACUGAGAUACGGCCCAGACUCCUACGGGAGGCAGCAGUGGGGAAUUUUGCGCAAUGGGGGCAACCCUGACGCAGCAACGCCGCGUGCGGGACGACGGCCUUCGGGUUGUAAACCGCUUUCAGCAGGGAAGAACCUUGACGGUACCUGCAGAAGAAG